rnacentral:misc_RNA from 1 species
GAUGAAGAACGCAGCGAACUGCGAUAAGUAAUGUGAAUUGCAGAAUUCAGUGAAUCAUCGAGUCUUUGAACGCACAUUGCGCCCCCUGGCAUUCCGGGGGGCAUGCCUGUCCGAGCGUCAUUGCUGCCCAUCAAGCCCGGCUUGUGUGUUGGGUCGUCGUCCCCCCCGGGGGACGGGCCCGAAAGGCAGCGGCGGCACCGUGUCCGGUCCUCGAGCGUAUGGGGCUUUGUCACCCGCUCGAUUAGGGCCGGCCGGGCGCCAGCCGACGUCUCCAACCAUUUUCUUCAGGUUGACCUCGGAUCAGGUAGGGAUACCCGCUGAACUUAAGCAUAUCAAUAAGCGGAGGA